rnacentral:lncRNA from 1 species
CACAUUUGCAUUUAUUGAACAAGAUUUCAAGCCACGGUAUCAACUAGUGUACUAAAGGAGAUGCUCCUCAUCAGACCUGUGCUCCAGACCUCUCAACAGCUUCACUGCCCUUCUCUGGACAUGCUUGUAGAGGAUGAAAGAAUGCGCCUCUUUAAACUGGCAAAUAAUUGUGGAACAGAGAUGCAUAAAGAAACCUUUCUAAAGGGAGCAGUGGAUCUGUUCUUAAGACUGAUGACAAUUUCCUGGCUCUCCAUGGUAUUACUCCUGUCUAAAACACUAUUCUGUAUGUCAUUUCCUACUGCAUGUUUUUCUUUACCUCAAGUCUACUCUUCCCUAGUUUUCUCAUGUAAUAAAGCACUCUAAAAUACA